AGCGUACACGGUGGAUGCCCUGGCAGUCAGAGGCGAUGAAGGACGUGCUAAUCUGCGAUAAGCGUCGGUAAGGUGAUAUGAACCGUUAUAACCGGCGAUUUCCGAAUGGGGAAACCCAGUGUGUUUCGACACACUAUCAUUAACUGAAUCCAUAGGUUAAUGAGGCGAACCGGGGGAACUGAAACAUCUAAGUACCCCGAGGAAAAGAAAUCAACCGAGAUUCCCCCAGUAGCGGCGAGCGAACGGGGAGCAGCCCAGAGCCUGAAUCAGUGUGUGUGUUAGUGGAAGCGUCUGGAAAGGCGCGCGAUACAGGGUGACAGCCCCGUACACAAAAAUGCACAUGCUGUGAGCUCGAUGAGUAGGGCGGGACACGUGGUAUCCUGUCUGAAUAUGGGGGGACCAUCCUCCAAGGCUAAAUACUCCUGACUGACCGAUAGUGAACCAGUACCGUGAGGGAAAGGCGAAAAGAACCCCGGCGAGGGGAGUGAAAAAGAACCUGAAACCGUGUACGUACAAGCAGUGGGAGCACGCUUAGGCGUGUGACUGCGUACCUUUUGUAUAAUGGGUCAGCGACUUAUAUUCUGUAGCAAGGUUAACCGAAUAGGGGAGCCGAAGGGAAACCGAGUCUUAACUGGGCGUUAAGUUGCAGGGUAUAGACCCGAAACCCGGUGAUCUAGCCAUGGGCAGGUUGAAGGUUGGGUAACACUAACUGGAGGACCGAACCGACUAAUGUUGAAAAAUUAGCGGAUGACUUGUGGCUGGGGGUGAAAGGCCAAUCAAACCGGGAGAUAGCUGGUUCUCCCCGAAAGCUAUUUAGGUAGCGCCUCGUGAACUCAUCUCCGGGGGUAGAGCACUGUUUCGGCAAGGGGGUCAUCCCGACUUACCAACCCGAUGCAAACUGCGAAUACCGGAGAAUGUUAUCACGGGAGACACACGGCGGGUGCUAACGUCCGUCGUGAAGAGGGAAACAACCCAGACCGCCAGCUAAGGUCCCAAAGUCAUGGUUAAGUGGGAAACGAUGUGGGAAGGCCCAGACAGCCAGGAUGUUGGCUUAGAAGCAGCCAUCAUUUAAAGAAAGCGUAAUAGCUCACUGGUCGAGUCGGCCUGCGCGGAAGAUGUAACGGGGCUAAACCAUGCACCGAAGCUGCGGCAGCGACACUAUGUGUUGUUGGGUAGGGGAGCGUUCUGUAAGCCUGCGAAGGUGUACUGUGAGGUAUGCUGGAGGUAUCAGAAGUGCGAAUGCUGACAUAAGUAACGAUAAAGCGGGUGAAAAGCCCGCUCGCCGGAAGACCAAGGGUUCCUGUCCAACGUUAAUCGGGGCAGGGUGAGUCGACCCCUAAGGCGAGGCCGAAAGGCGUAGUCGAUGGGAAACAGGUUAAUAUUCCUGUACUUGGUGUUACUGCGAAGGGGGGACGGAGAAGGCUAUGUUGGCCGGGCGACGGUUGUCCCGGUUUAAGCGUGUAGGCUGGUUUUCCAGGCAAAUCCGGAAAAUCAAGGCUGAGGCGUGAUGACGAGGCACUACGGUGCUGAAGCAACAAAUGCCCUGCUUCCAGGAAAAGCCUCUAAGCAUCAGGUAACAUCAAAUCGUACCCCAAACCGACACAGGUGGUCAGGUAGAGAAUACCAAGGCGCUUGAGAGAACUCGGGUGAAGGAACUAGGCAAAAUGGUGCCGUAACUUCGGGAGAAGGCACGCUGAUAUGUAGGUGAAGCGACUUGCUCGUGGAGCUGAAAUCAGUCGAAGAUACCAGCUGGCUGCAACUGUUUAUUAAAAACACAGCACUGUGCAAACACGAAAGUGGACGUAUACGGUGUGACGCCUGCCCGGUGCCGGAAGGUUAAUUGAUGGGGUCAGCGCAAGCGAAGCUCUUGAUCGAAGCCCCGGUAAACGGCGGCCGUAACUAUAACGGUCCUAAGGUAGCGAAAUUCCUUGUCGGGUAAGUUCCGACCUGCACGAAUGGCGUAAUGAUGGCCAGGCUGUCUCCACCCGAGACUCAGUGAAAUUGAACUCGCUGUGAAGAUGCAGUGUACCCGCGGCAAGACGGAAAGACCCCGUGAACCUUUACUAUAGCUUGACACUGAACAUUGAGCCUUGAUGUGUAGGAUAGGUGGGAGGCUUGGAAGUGUGGACGCCAGUCUGCAUGGAGCCGACCUUGAAAUACCACCCUUUAAUGUUUGAUGUUCUAACGUUGACCCGUAAUCCGGGUUGCGGACAGUGUCUGGUGGGUAGUUUGACUGGGGCGGUCUCCUCCUAAAGAGUAACGGAGGAGCACGAAGGUUGGCUAAUCCUGGUCGGACAUCAGGAGGUUAGUGCAAUGGCAUAAGCCAGCUUGACUGCGAGCGUGACGGCGCGAGCAGGUGCGAAAGCAGGUCAUAGUGAUCCGGUGGUUCUGAAUGGAAGGGCCAUCGCUCAACGGAUAAAAGGUACUCCGGGGAUAACAGGCUGAUACCGCCCAAGAGUUCAUAUCGACGGCGGUGUUUGGCACCUCGAUGUCGGCUCAUCACAUCCUGGGGCUGAAGUAGGUCCCAAGGGUAUGGCUGUUCGCCAUUUAAAGUGGUACGCGAGCUGGGUUUAGAACGUCGUGAGACAGUUCGGUCCCUAUCUGCCGUGGGCGCUGGAGAACUGAGGGGGGCUGCUCCUAGUACGAGAGGACCGGAGUGGACGCAUCACUGGUGUUCGGGUUGUCAUGCCAAUGGCACUGCCCGGUAGCUAAAUGCGGAAGAGAUAAGUGCUGAAAGCAUCUAAGCACGAAACUUGCCCCGAGAUGAGUUCUCCCUGACUCCUUGA
rnacentral:rRNA from 1 species